CGUAGGGUGCGAGCGUUAAUUGGAAUUACUGGGCGUAAAGCGUGCGCAGGCGGUUUUGUAAGACAGGCGUGAAAUCCCCGGGCUCAACCUGGGAACUGCGUUUGUGACUGCAAGGCUAGAGUAUGGCAGAGGGGGGUGGAAUUCCACGUGUAGCAGUGAAAUGCGUAGAGAUGUGGAGGAACACCGAUGGCGAAGGCAGCCCCCUGGGCCAAUACUGACGCUCAUGCACGAAAGCGUGGGUAGCCAACAGGAUUAGAUACCCUGGUAGUCCACGCCCUAAACGAUGUCAACUAGGUGUUGGGUGGGUAAAACCAUUUAGUACCGGAGCUAACGCGUGAAGUUGACCGCCUGGGGAGUACGGCCGCAAGGUUA
rnacentral:rRNA from 1 species